rnacentral:rRNA from 1 species
CGGAGUUAACCGGGGUUUCUUUACCUGCUACAGUCAUUAUCUUCACAGGCGAAAGAGCUUUACGACCCUAAGGCCUUCAUCACUCACGCGGCAUGGCUGGAUCAGGCUUGCGCCCAUUGUCCAAGAUUCCCCA